rnacentral:rRNA from 1 species
UACGGAGGAUCCAAGCGUUAUCCGGAUUUAUUGGGUUUAAAGGGUGCGUAGGUGGCCCUGUAAGUCAGUGGUGAAAUAUCUCAGCUUAACUGAGAGGGUGCCAUUGAUACUGCAGGGCUUGAGUACAGAUGAGGUAGGCGGAAUUGACGGUGUAGCGGUGAAAUGCAUAGAUAUCGUCAAGAACACCGAUAGCGAAGGCAGCUUACCAAGCUGUAACUGACACUGAGGCACGAAAGUGUGGGGAUCAAACAGG